rnacentral:rRNA from 1 species
UACGGGGGGAGCAAGCGUUGUUCGGAUUUACUGGGCGUAAGGGCGCGUAGGCGGCCACCGCAAGUCGGUUGUGAAAUCUCUGGGCUUAACCCAGAAAGGUCAACCGAUACUGCGGGGCUAGAGUGCAGAAGGGGCAACUGGAAUUCUCGGUGUAGCGGUGAAAAUGCGUAGAUAUCGAGAGGAAACACCUGCGGCGAAGGCGGGUUGCUGGGGCU